AGUUUUGAUCUUGGCUCAGAUUGAACGCUGGCGGCAGGCCUAACACAUGCAAGUCGAGCGGUAACAGAGAGUAGCUUGCUACUCUGCUGACGAGCGGCGGACGGGUGAGUAAUGCUUGGGAAUAUGCCUUAUGGUGGGGGACAACAGUUGGAAACGACUGCUAAUACCGCAUGAUGUCUACGGACCAAAGUGGGGGACCUUCGGGCCUCACGCCAUAAGAUUAGCCCAAGUGGGAUUAGCUAGUUGGUGAGGUAAUGGCUCACCAAGGCGACGAUCCCUAGCUGGUUUGAGAGGAUGAUCAGCCACACUGGGACUGAGACACGGCCCAGACUCCUACGGGAGGCAGCAGUGGGGAAUAUUGCACAAUGGGCGCAAGCCUGAUGCAGCCAUGCCGCGUGUGUGAAGAAGGCCUUCGGGUUGUAAAGCACUUUCAGUAAGGAGGAAAGGUUAAGUGUUAAUAGCACUUAGCUGUGACGUAC
rnacentral:rRNA from 2 species